rnacentral:rRNA from 1 species
GGGAUUAAUGCUGGCGGCGUGCCUAAUACAUGCAAGUCGAACGGGUUUAGACCCGUGGCGAACGGGUGAGUAACGUGUAGGAAGUUGCUCCGAAGUCGGGUAUAACCAGCCGAAAGGCUGAAUAACACCCGAUAUGCCGAAAGGUGAAAGUUUACGCUUCGGAAGACGCCUGCGUCCUAUCAGUUAGUUGGUGAGGUAACGGCUCACCAAGACGAUGACGGGUAGCUGGUCUGAGAGGAUGAUCAGCCACAGUGGGACUGAGACACGGCCCACACUCCUACGGGAGGCAGCAGUGGGGGAAUAUUGGACAAUGGGCGCAAGCCUGAUCCAGCCAUGCCGCGUGGAUGAUGAAGGCCCUAGGGUUGUAAAGUCCUUUCGACGGGGAAGAUAAUGACGGUACCCGUAGAAGAAGCCCCGGCUAACUUCGUGCCAGCAGCCGC